rnacentral:rRNA from 1 species
UACCAGCACCCCGAGUGGUCGGGACGUUUAUUGGGCCUAAAGCAUCCGUAGCCGGUUCUACAAGUCUUCCGUUAAAUCCAACUGCUUAACAGGUGGGCUGCGGAAGAUACUAUGGAGCUAGGAGGCGGGAGAGGCAAGCGGUACUCGAUGGGUAGGGGUAAAAUCCGUUGAUCCAUUGAAGACCACCAGUGGCGAAGGCGGCUUGCCAGAACGCGCUCGACGGUGAGGGAUGAAAGCUGGGGGAGCAAACCGGG